rnacentral:misc_RNA from 1 species
ACCUCAGUACCUCACGACGGCAGAUGGGUUGGCUGACGGCGCGACCACAGAGCUGGCGGCGGUGGACGCGGCCACGGAAGCGCGGCUGUCGGCUGGAGUGGCGGUGCGCAAGGAAGCGCGGCUGCGCGGGUCUCCAAGCGGUGACGGGCUGGCGGCGCGCAGGUGCGGGCUGACGGCUGGCGGCGCGCAGGGAAGCGCGGGGCUGGCGGCGCGCAGGAAGGUGCGCGGGGAUGGCGGCGCGCCGUGGGGAGAAGUGGGGCUGGCGGCGCGCAGAGAAGUUGCGCGUGUGCGCCGUGGGGAGAAGCGGUG